CCUUAUGCAUGCAAGUCGAGCGAAGCUUUUCUGUAGUUUACUACAGAAAAUGACUGAGCGGCGAACGGGUGAGUAACGCGUGAGCAAUCUACCUUAGUUACAGGGAUAGCCCGAGGAAACUCGGAUUAAUACCUGAUAUUCUUUUUUUCUCGCAUGAGAUUUAAAGGAAAGGUCAGCCGAACUAAGAUGAGCUCGCGUUCUAUCAGCUAGUUGGUGAGGUAGUAGCUCACCAAGGCNNCGACGGAUUGCUGGUCUGAGAGGACGAUCAGCCACACUGGGACUGAGACACGGCCCAGACUCCUACGGGAGGCUGCAGCAGGGAAUAUUGUGCAAUGAGCGAAAGCUUGACACAGCGACACCGCGUGUGGGAUGACGGAUCUAGGUUUGUAAACCACUUUCAGG
rnacentral:rRNA from 1 species